rnacentral:rRNA from 1 species
UAGGGAAUCUUCGGCAAUGGACGAAAGUCUGACCGAGCAACGCCGCGUGAGUGAAGAAGGUUUUCGGAGCGUAAAACUCUGUUGUUAGAGAAGAACAAGGACGUUAGUAACUGAACGUCCCCUGACGGUAUCUAACCAGAAAGCCACGGCUAACUACGUGCCAGCAGCCGCGGUAAUACGUAGGUGGCAAGCGUUUUCCGGAUUUAUUGGGCGUAAAGCGAGCGCAGGCGGUUUCUUAAGUCUGAUGUGAAAUCCCCCGACUCAACCGGGGAGGGUCAUUGUAAACUGUGAGACUUGGGUGCAGAAGAGGAGACUGAGAAUCCAUGUGUAGCGGUGAAAUGCGUAGAUAUAUGGAGGUACACCUGUGGCGAAGGCGGCUCUCUGGUCUGUAACUGCCGCUGAGGCUCGAAAGCGUGGGGAGCAAACAGG